rnacentral:rRNA from 1 species
AGUGGCGAACGGGUGAGUAACACGUGAGCAAUCUGCCCUUGACUCUGGGAUAACUGCGGGAAACUGUAGCUAAUACCGGAUACUUUCCUCGCUGGGCAUCCAGCGGGGAAGAAAGAAUUUCGGUCAAGGAUGAGCUCGCGGCCUAUCAGCUAGUUGGUGAGGUAAUGGCUCACCAAGGCGACGACGGGUAGCCGGCCUGAGAGGGUGACCGGCCACACUGGAACUGAGACACGGUCCAGACUCCUACGGGAGGCAGCAGUGGGGAAUAUUGCACAAUGGGCGAAAGCCUGAUGCAGCAACGCCGCGUGAGGGAUGAAGGCCUUCGGGUUGUAAACCUCUUUUAGCAGGGAAGAAGCGAAAGUGACGGUACCUGCAGAAAAAGCACCGGCUAACUACGUGCCAGCAGCCGCGGUAAUACGUAGGGUGCAAGCGUUGUCCGGAAUUAUUGGGCGUAAAGAGCUCGUAGGCGGUUUGUCACGUCUGCUGUGAAAAUCCGAGGCUUAACCUCGGACUUGCAGUGGGUACGGGCAGGCUAGAGUGCGGUAGGGGAGAAGGGAAUUCCUGGUGUAGCGGUGGAAUGCGCAGAUAUCAGGAGGAACACCAAUGGCGAAGGCACUUCUCUGGGCCGUAACUGACGCUGAGGAGCGAAAGCGUGGGGAGCGAACAGGAUUAGAUACCCUGGUAGUCCACGCCGUAAACGGUGGGUGCUAGCUGUG